rnacentral:tRNA from 1 species
UAUAGCUCAGUGGUAGAGCACAUGCUAAGCAUGUACAAGGUCCUGGGUUCAAUCCCCAGUA